CACCUCCGCAGGGGGGCGUUCUCCUCAAUGUCUUCCAGCGUCUCCAGCGAGGCCCUCUGGGAGAGGAGCCGGCGUCUGGACCUCUGCAGCUGAUCCAUG